rnacentral:lncRNA from 1 species
AAAGGAACUCCAUGGUAUACACCCGCACGACCUCCAGAAACACUUUAUACACACCAAAGUAUCAAACAGCUGGUUACUAAGGGGGAUUUAUUUACAUAAACAGAAGGGUUUAUAAUAGUGAUAAAGACCAGGUAAUAAACACGAAAAAUUACAGAAAAUACGUACUGAAGGACAGCACAUUGACAAAUGACACUUGUAGGAAAUGCCACAUAGCACCCAAAACAAUUCAGCACAUUACAUCAGGUUGCAAACUGUUUGCCCAAACAGAUUACCUGCACAGACACAACCAAGUAGCAAACAUAAGACACCAAAAGCUUGCAACCAAACACAAAUUAAUAAACACACACUCACUACAUUACAAAUACGUAUCAGACACAAUCUUAGAAAACUUGACACACAAGUACUAUGACAGAACAAUCUUAACAGACAAAACCGUAC